GUAGGUGGCAAGCGUUGUCCGGAAUUAUUGGGCGUAAAGCGCGCGCAGGCGGUCCUUUAAGUCUGAUGUGAAAGCCCACGGCUCAACCGUGGAGGGUCAUUGGAAACUGGGGGACUUGAGUACAGAAGAGGAAAGCGGAAUUCCAAGUGUAGCGGUGAAAUGCGUAGAGAUUUGGAGGAACACCAGUGGCGAAGGCGGCUUUCUGGUCUGUAACUGGCGCUGAGGCGCGAAAGCGUGGGGAGCAAACAGGGAUUAGAUACCCUGGUAGUCCACGCCGUAAACGAUGAGUGCUAAGUGUUAGGGGGUUUCCCGCCCCUUAGUGCUGCAGCUAACGCAUUAAGCACUCCGCCUGGGGAUACGGCCGCAAGGCUG
rnacentral:rRNA from 1 species